UACGUAGGGCGCGAGCGUUAUCCGGAAUUAUUGGGCGUAAAGAGCUCGUAGGCGGUUUGUCGCGUCUGCUGUGAAAACCCGAGGCUCAACCUCGGGCCUGCAGUGGGUACGGGCAGACUAGAGUGCGGUAGGGGAGAUUGGAAUUCCUGGUGUAGCGGUGGAAUGCGCAGAUAUCAGGAGGAACACCAAUGGCGAAGGCAGAUCUCUGGGCCGUAACUGACGCUGAGGAGCGAAAGCAU
rnacentral:rRNA from 1 species